rnacentral:rRNA from 1 species
GACGAACGCUGGCGGCGUGCUUAACACAUGCAAGUCGAACGGAAAGGCCCUGCUUGCAGGGUCCUCGAGUGGCGAACGGGUGAGUAACACGUGGGUGAUCUGCCCUGCACUUCGGGAUAAGCCUGGGAAACUGGGUCUAAUACCGGAUAGGAGCCAUUUUUAGUGUGAUGGUUGGAAAGUUUUUUCGGUGUAGGAUGAGCUCGCGGCCUAUCAGCUUGUUGGUGGGGUAAUGGCCUACCAAGGCGGCGACGGGUAGCCGGCCUGAGAGGGUGGACGGCCACAUUGGGACUGAGAUACGGCCCAGACUCCUACGGGAGGCAGCAGUGGGGAAGAUUGCACAAUGGGCGCAAGCCUGAUGCAGCGACGCCGCGGGGGGGAUGACGGCCUUCGGGUUGUAAACUCCUUUCGCUAGGGACGAAGCUUUUUGUGACGGUACCUAGAUAAGAAGCACCGGCUAACUACGUG